UGAAUAAAAUCGAUUUCUGGGCUUCGGA
rnacentral:sRNA from 1 species